GCGCCGUUAGCUCAGUUGGUAGAGCAGGGGCCUCUUAAGCCCAAGGUCGCAGGUUCAAGCCCUGCACGGCGUACCA
rnacentral:tRNA from 3 species